rnacentral:rRNA from 1 species
AACGAACGCUGGCGGCAUGCCUAACACAUGCAAGUCGAACGAUUGCCUUCGGGUGAUAGUGGCGCACGGGUGCGUAACGCGUGGGAAUCUGCCCUUAGGUUCGGAAUAACAGCUGGAAACGGCUGCUAAUACCGGAUGAUAUCGCGAGAUCAAAGAUUUAUCGCCUGAGGAUGAGCCCGCGUUGGAUUAGGUAGUUGGUGGGGUAAAGGCCUACCAAGCCGACGAUCCAUAGCUGGUCUGAGAGGAUGAUCAGCCACACUGGGACUGAGACACGGCCCAGACUCCUACGGGAGGCAGCAGUGGGGAAUAUUGGACAAUGGGCGCAAGCCUGAUACAGCAAUGCCGCGUGAGUGAUGAAGGCCCUAGGGUUGUAAAGCUCUUUUACCCGGGAAGAUAAUGACUGUACCGGGAGAAUAAGCCCCGGCUAACUCCGUG